GCGCCCUUAGCUCAGCUGGAUAGAGCACGUCCCUUCUAAGGAUGUGGUCAGAGGUUCGAAUCCUCUAGGGCGUGCCA
rnacentral:tRNA from 6 species